rnacentral:lncRNA from 1 species
AAAUAUAUUAUUUCUCUCUACUGAUACUUCAUUAAAAUUAAAUUCAAAAGUAAAUGAUACUUCAUUAAAAUUAAAUUCGUAUUCAACCAGGAAAGAAAGAAGACGCAAAAACAGAGAAGCAAUCAUCUGUUCUUUGAGGUGCCAUUUUUAUUCUUCGAAGAAUCCCGAUGCACCUUAUAAUUCAUCGGUAAGAGCUCAUCUAUUUAUCAAUAUUUUCUUUUAAAUUUUCCUGCAAAGUCUUCGUUGUCAUGAAUAGAAACCCUAUACAUCCUUUCUACAAUAGUUCUUUAUUCACUCUAUCUAUGAUAUAUGAGAAUUUGGGUUAUUAGCCAUGAGGCAGUUCAAUGGUAGUCGCAGAAUUCGUGGAUUCAUCAGCGAAUUAUGUACCCUGGUCAUAGUUUUCUUGUUUUACAACCGGGGAGAUAUUACGAGGAACCCAGUGCUUAGGCAAUCAAACCUAAUUUCGGGCAGCGGGUUUUGUGGUGGGUCAAAUCAUAGGUCAGUAAUUCACCAUCAUCUACAUCCACUAGUACAACCACUACCCAAUUCAUAAUAAGCCGAAUUUUCGCUUACCUGUGCAGCCCAAAAAGACUCAUGGCUAGAGGCGGAGAAUAGAUCUAUAUGACCUAGAACUAUCAUCGAGGCUAGAGAGUAGCAAAGAAUGAUGAUGAUUCAGAUCUAUGACUAGCGCUAGAGAGAGGCGAAGAAGAGAUGGCCAAGAUCUACAAAUGAUUUUGGGUUUAUGGAUAGUUUUGUUUUUGAAAAUUUAAUGUAUAUAGAUGAUUUUGUUUGGUGAUAUUUUAUUUGGGGAGAAGAUGAUGAACAAUGGGUUGUGAUUUAUUUUGAUAUUAUCUUUAAUUUAUUAUAUUAUUGAAUAGAAAUUAUUGGAAUGUUUGGGUCGGG